GGGUGCAAUCAUUCCUGCCCUAAUGCACCGGAUCCCAUUAGAACUCUGAAGUUAAGUGUGCUUGGGCGAGAGUAGUACUCGGACGGGUGACCUCCUUGGAAGUCCUCGUGUUGCACCCC
rnacentral:rRNA from 1 species